UACGUAGGGUGCGAGCGUUAAUCGGAAUUACUGGGCGUAAAGCGUGCGCAGGCGGUUUUGUAAGCCAGAUGUGAAAUCCCCGGGCUUAACCUGGGAAUGGCAUUUGGGACUGCAAGGCUGGAGUGCGGCAGAGGAGACUGGAAUUCCUGGUGUAGCAGUGAAAUGCGUAGAUAUCAGGAAGAACACCCGUGGCUAAGGCGGCUCUCUAGUACGGUACUGACGCUGGGACGCGAAAGCGUGGGGAGCGAACAGG
rnacentral:rRNA from 1 species